CUUUUUUUUGCUGAAAAAUCAGCAAUCGGUUUUCAAAUUGCUGGACUUUCCAGCUAUUGAUCUAGUUUGCUGGAAAAUCAGCAAUCGAGUUGUCAAAUUGGAGUCUGUUUGUUUUCGUACGCUGAAGCAAGCAACUAGGCAUCAAGUCAAGGGUAAGUUUUCAUUAUACAGGUAUACACACAAAAUUUUCGAGCCUCCACUUAGCAAAAAUACUGCGUUACUUUCGAUUAGCAAUAAGGGUUGUUUUACUAACGCGAUAGCAAAAUGCUUAUUUUGCUUGAAUUUAGUAAAAAAGUCAACUAGCUAGCCGCUUUGUUCGGAUAGCAGCCGCCGGCUACGAGAGAAAGAAAAAUAAAUCAACGUGAAUCAGUACGAUUGGCGGAACCUGUGGAGCCGGGGCUGAUAAGUCAGUGACGAAAUGGUAGCCAGACUAACACCGGAAGCGUACAGGAACUUACCAAUGAAUGAACAGUAAUGCGGUUACGGAAUCGGGUUCACUGCUAGUGGUGCCAAGGUGUGAUGGCCAAGUGGCCGACGGAAGGUGGAUAAAACAUCGGAAGCGAAUAGGUAGGAUUCGAUUCGACCAUGAGAAAAUCCGGCUUUUAAUAUGCGAAAUUAUUUGUUUUUCGCCAGGUUGUUCCUGCCGACCAUCAUUGCAGGAUGAUCGACAAAAAGGAACCAUUUUCAGCCGGGUGAAAGACCAAUUCUAAAG